rnacentral:rRNA from 1 species
GACGUAGGGCGCGAGCGUUGUCCGGAUUUAUUGGGCGUAAAGAGCUCGUAGGCGGCUUGUCGCGUCGACUGUGAAAACCCGCGGCUCAACCGUGUGGCGGGCAGUUGAUACGGGCAGGCUAGAGUUCGGUAGGGGAGACUGGAAUUCCUGGUGUAGCGGUGAAAUGCGCAGAUAUCAGGAGGAACACCGGUGGCGAAGGCGGGUCUCUGGGCCGAUACUGACGCUGAGGAGCGAAAGCGUGGGGAGCGAACAGG